rnacentral:rRNA from 1 species
CGAGACAUAAAGUAAGCAUACUUGGUGGCGACCGGCGCACGGUGAGUAACGCGUAUGCAACCUACCUAUCAGAGGGGAAUAACCCGGCGAAAGUCGGACUAAUACCGCAUAAAACAGGGGCACCGCAUGGUGAUAUUUGUUAAAGAAAUUCGCUGAUAGAUGGGCAUGCGUUCCAUUAGGUAGUUGGUGAGGUAACGGCUCACCAAGCCGACGAUGGAUAGGGGAACUGAGAGGUUGGUCCCCCACACUGGUACUGAGACACGGACCAGACUCCUACGGGAGGCAGCAGUGAGGAAUAUUGGUCAAUGGGCGGGAGCCUGAACCAGCCAAGUCGCCGUGAAGGAAGAAGGAUCUAUGGUUCGUAAACUUCUUUUGCAGGGGAAUAAAGUGCAGGACGUGUCCUGUUUUGUAUGUACCCUGAGAAUAAGGAUCGGCUAACUCCGUGCCAGCCGCCGC